UACGGGGGGAGCAAGCGUUGUCCGGAAUUAUUGGGCGUAAAGAGCUCGUAGGCGGUUUGUUGCGUCGGCUGUGAAAUCCUGAGGCUCAACCUCAGGCCUGCAGUCGAUACGAGCAAACUAGAGUGUUGCAGGGGAGACUGGAAUUCCUGGUGUAGCGGUGAAAUGCGCAGAUAUCAGGAGGAACACCGGUGGCGAAGGCGGGUCUCUGGGCAACAACUGACGCUGAGGAGCGAAAGCGUGGGGAGCGAACAGG
rnacentral:rRNA from 1 species